GGUCCCCAUCCCAGUCCUCAUGGACCACCAACAGUCCAGGAUUUAUGUAUUUCCCUUUUUUUAUUCAAAUGGAGAUACUGACAAAACCUAAACUGUUGGUGGUCCAUGAGGACUGGGUUGGGGAA
rnacentral:miRNA from 1 species